rnacentral:rRNA from 1 species
UGAGGAAUUUUGCGCAAUGGGAGCAAUCCUGACGCAGCAACGCCGCGUGGGUGAUGAAGGCCUUCGGGUCGUAAAGCCCUGUCAGGUGGGACGAAUGUCCCGGAACUGAACAGGUUUCGGGAGUGACGGUACCACCAGAGGAAGCACCGGCUAACUCCGUGCCAGCAGCCGCGGUAAUACGGAGGGUGCAAGCGUUAUUCGGAAUUACUGGGCGUAAAGCGCGUGUAGGCGGUCCUGCAAGUCUGAUGUGAAAGCCCCGGGCUGAACCCGGGAAGUGCAUUGGAAACUGCAGGUCUGGAGUACUGGAGAGGAUGGUGGAAUUCCCGGUGUAGAGGUGAAAUUCGUAGAGAUCGGGAGGAAUAUCAGUGGCGAAGGCGCCCAUCUGGACGGUAACUGACGCUGAGACGCGAAAGCGUGGGGAGCAAACA